GGUUUUUAAAGACAUCUCCACAUUGAAGUAUAUAUCUCAAUUGACUUGAAAUAAGAAGGCUGAGAAGCUUAAAUCCAAAGACUAAGAACUAAUAAGAUGUUACAUUGGGAAAAACUCCUGAAAUCCGUUCUUGGUAUGCUGUGUUGCCUAUUUUUUAGUGUCUGUGAGAAGCUGCCUGGUGGAAUGAAUCCUUCCAACCAAGCCAUGGAAGUGAACAACACAAGGCAAAGCAAACGACCUGCAGUCUGGCUUGGCCUCUACUUCAAGUGCCUUUCUGGGGAAAUAUCACCAUGGUUUUUCUCAGUCCAGAACCUCAUAUUUGAACUCCUUUUACAUAAUUUUGUGCCUUUUUUUUUUUCCUUCCUAGAGGGAGACAGAAUGUCAAGGUCCCGAGCUACGCUUGUUCUUUUCAUUGCAAGAGAGGUGCAAGGAAAAAGUGGAGCUCAGUUUGAAGUUACCAUUUCUUUUUAAUUGAUCUGCAUUUCUUCAUGGCCAUGAAAGAGCUCCAUUCACUGCUGUGUCCUGUUCUUGCUGGCUGUGGAUGGAGCUUGCUGCUCUUGCACUUUUCCUCUGUUGUUCAAGUCAACUCUAAACUUUUCAGCACAUGAGAGCACAGAGAUAACAAACCCCCAAAUGUUAUGUGAGAAUGUCACAACUUGGGAAACAGAGGCAUGGAUUUAAAAAUUACUUGCAUGGCAGAAAAAUUAAACAACUGUUACUCUGAGAGGCAGCUAGAAAA